UACGUAGGGUGCAAGCGUUGUCCGGAAUUAUUGGGCGUAAAGAGCUCGUAGGCGGUUUGUCGCGUCUGCUGUGAAAUCCCUCGGCUCAACCAAGGAAGUGCAUCCGAAACUGCUGUGCUUGAGUACUUAAGAGGAUCGCGGAAUUCCCGGUGUAGAGGUGAAAUUCGUAGAUAUCGGGAGGAACACCAGUGGCGAAGGCGACUACCUGGCCUGUUCUUGACGCUGAGGCGCGAAAGCUAGGGGAGCAAACGGG
rnacentral:rRNA from 1 species